rnacentral:rRNA from 1 species
GUGGGGAAUAUUGCGCAAUGGGGGAAACCCUGACGCAGCGACGCCGCGUGAGCGAAGAAGGCCUUAGGGUUGUAAAGCUCUGUUUUAAGGGACGAAUGUCGUGGGGAGUAAUAUGCUCUGCGAAUGACGGUACCUUAAGAGGAAGCCCCGGCUAACUACGUGCCAGCAGCCGCGGUAAGACGUAGGGGGCGAGCGUUGUCCGGAAUUACUGGGCGUAAAGAGCACGUAGGCGGGAACUUAAGUCAGGUGUGAAAGACCGGGGCUCAACUCCGGGGUUGCACUUGAAACUGGGUUUCUUGAGGGCAGGAGAGGAAAGCAGAAUUCCUGGUGUAGCGGUGAAAUGCGUAGAAAUCAGGAGGAAUACCAGUGGCGAAGGCGGCUUUCUGGACUGACCCUGACGCUGAGGUGCGAAAGCGUGGGUAGCAAACAGGAUUAGAUACCCGUGUAGUCC